rnacentral:piRNA from 1 species
UGCAGAAACAUACCACUGUUUCCUUAGG